AUUGAACGCUGGCGGCAGGCCUAACACAUGCAAGUCGAGCGGAUGAAGGGAGCUUGCUCCUGGAUUCAGCGGCGGACGGGUGAGUAAUGCCUAGGAAUCUGCCUGGUAGUGGGGGAUAACGUCCGGAAACGGGCGCUAAUACCGCAUACGUCCUGAGGGCGAAAGGGGGGGAUCUUCGGACCUCACGCUAUCAGAUGAGCCUAUGUCGGAUUAGCUAGUUGGUGGGGUAAAGGCCUACCAAGGCGACGAUCCGUAACUGGUCUGAGAGGAUGAUCAGUCACACUGGAACUGAGACACGGUCCAGACUCCUACGGGAGGCAGCAGUGGGGAAUAUUGGACAAUGGGCGAAAGCCUGAUCCAGCCAUGCCGCGUGUGUGAAGAAGGUCUUCGGAUUGUAAAGCACUUUAAGUUGGGAGGAAGGGCAGUAAGUUAAUACCUUGCUGUUUUGACGUUACCAACAGAAUAAGCACCGGCUAACUUCGUG
rnacentral:rRNA from 1 species